GACGCCACUUCAAGUGCCAAGGCCCAAUGCUGUGCAAUCCUGGGAGCUGUAGUUUUAUGUGGGUGAUUUAUCUUGCUGCAAAUGAGUCAGAAGGAGACAAACAGAAGAGGGGAAAAUUACAAAGAUUUCUAACCCUUGUACUUUUAGUAUACAUUAAUAUGUGGGCAAAACCCAAGCAUCUUACAGUCUGCUGCAAUUUUUAUUCCAAACAUACAAAAGGCCGUAGAUCUGGCCAAAACAGAUAAGAUCAAAAGCUUGGUAUGAUAUCGAAUAUUAAAUAUCAAUAUCUGAUCUGUUGUCAGAAUUUAGUUGUCAGUGUCUUGUGCAUGUGCAUAGAAAUUAUUGGUUUUUUUUGCAGAAUAUAAACAUUCUGUUCAGGUUUGCAGCAGAGAAAUUACACACACCAUGCCACUGCCCAUUGUGUUGGUUUUUUGGGUAGUUAACUGUGUUGCAGUUUUGGUUUCACAUUCAGUUUUUCAUUUGAUUCCCACUGAACACAAGAGUUGCAGCACUAUCAAUACAGAUAGUCCCCAAGUUACAAAUAAGAUAGGUUCUGUAGGUUUGUUCUUAAAUUGAAUUUGUAUGUAAGUCAGAAUAGGUGCAUUUUUAAGUGUAAUAUAUACAUAUAUUAAGCUAGUAUAGGGAAGCGUUAAAUCUCCUGUGGGUUUUUUUCUUUUUGCUGUCUCUGCCCCUGUUUAGGAAAUUUCACCUCACUUCCUAUCACUGUGAGAACUGGAUUUUGAAAAAAUUGGCUUGUUGUGGAAACAAGGAUUGGGGAUAAAACGUUAGUAGACACACCUUUUCCUCAUGAUCACUCUUCCAGCAGUGAAUUUCCCUGGGCUUUAGGCAGCAGUAACUGAAGAUGCUAAGGAUUGAACAUGGGAUCAUCUAUAUAUAUAAAAGGGUAAUGACAUUUUGGCCUAGGACAAAACAACAAAACUACACAUCCCAGAAACACUAAACUUGGCAGCACAACCCCUCAUCCAUGCCUCUACAUUCAUACAACAAAAAGAAAAGAAAAAUAAAGUCCUAAUUAGAGGGAGAAGAAUAAUUGUUUUUAUCCAAUUGCUGCCAGUUAGAAGGCUAAGCUCCACCCACUUGGUUUCCUAGCAACCCACUCAGCCCAGGGGACAGGCAGAGUUAGGCCUCACUUAGGCCUCUUCCGCACUGCCUAUAAAAUACAGAUUAUCAAAUUCUAACUGGAUUACAGUAUAUGGCAGUGUAGAUUCAAGGCCCUUCCACAUAGCUCUAUAACCCAUUUAUAAUCUUAUAUUAUCUGCUUUGAACUGGAUUAUCUUGAGUCCACACUGCCAUAUAAUCCACUUCAGUGUGCAUUUUAUAGAGGUGUGUAGAAGGGGCCUCAUAUAAUCCAGUUCUAAGCAGAUAAUAUAAGAUUAUAAAUAUAAUAUGUAAUAAUAACUAUGAUAUAAUAAUACAGAACAAUAUAAUCUCUAAAAUCAGGACAGUAAAUAAAGAACAACACUCUGAAAGCAUAAGCCACAGCAACGCGUGGCCAGGCAAAGCUAGUCUGCAUAUAAAGUAUUGUGUUGCCAUUGAAGUUCAGCUCCUCAUCCGCCACUAGCUCUUUAAGAGACAGCUAGAGAGAUUUCACAGUUCAGAACUAGCACAUGUUGAUCCACAAAAGACCUUCAAG
ensembl:lncRNA